rnacentral:rRNA from 1 species
AUUGAACGCUGGCGGCAUGCCUUACACAUGCAAGUCGAACGGUAACAGGUCUUCGGAUGCUGACGAGUGGCGAACGGGUGAGUAAUACAUCGGAACGUGCCUAGUAGUGGGGGAUAACUACUCGAAAGAGUGGCUAAUACCGCAUGAGAUCUACGGAUGAAAGCAGGGGAUCGCAAGACCUUGUGCUACUAGAGCGGCCGAUGGCAGAUUAGGUAGUUGGUGGGAUAAAAGCUUACCAAGCCGACGAUCUGUAGCUGGUCUGAGAGGACGAUCAGCCACACUGGGACUGAGAAACGGCCCAGACUCCUACGGGAGGCAGCAGUGGGGAAUUUUGGACAAUGGGCGCAAGCCUGAUCCAGCAAUGCCGCGUGCAGGAUGAAGGCCUUCGGGUUGUAAACUGCUUUUGUACGGAGCGAAAAGGCUUCCACUAAUACUGGGGGCUCAUGACGGUACCGUAAGAAUAAGCACCGGCUAACUACGUGCCAGCCGCCGCGGUAA